UACGAAGGGGGCUAGCGUUGUUCGGAAUUACUGGGCGUAAAGCGCGCGUAGGCGGCUUUGUAGGUUAGAGGUGAAAGCCCGGGGCUCAACCCCGGAAUUGCCUUUAAGACUGCAUCGCUUGAAUCCGGGAGAGGUGAGUGGAAUUCCGAGUGUAGAGGUGAAAUUCGUAGAUAUUGGGAAGAACACCGGUGGCGAAGGCGGCGACCUGGUCCGAUACUGACGCUGAGGCGCGAAAGCGUGGGGAGCAAACAGG
rnacentral:rRNA from 1 species